CCGUAGCACAAUGGAUAGCGCGUUGGACUUCAAGUCCAGAGGUCGUGGAUUCGAAUCGCACCUUAAUUCCUGA